AUGCCUUAUGGAGGUCGGCUAGUGCUGAUUAAUUCGGUAUUGACUAGUAUGCCGAUGUUCCUAUUAUCGUUCUUCGAAAUUCCGAAAGGGGUUCGGAAGCGACUUGAUUUCUUUAGAUCGCAGUUCUUCUGGCGGUCAGAUGAGGCCAAGAGGAAGUACCGACUCGCGCGAUGGGAUAUCCUUUGCCGACCAAAAGACCAGGGUGGUCUUGGUAUUGAGAACUUAGAAAUCAAGAACAAAUGUCUUAUGAGUAAAUGGCUCUACAGGUUAGAGACAGAGCCGGAGGGCAUGUGCGCACAGAUUUUGCGCAAUAAAUAUUUGCAGUCCAAAACAAUCGCUCAGGUUACCAUGAGACCAACUGACUCGCCAUUCUGGAAAGGGCUUAUGAGGACGAAGGAUUUAUUCUUUCAUAGGGUCAAAUUCUUGGUUGGCAAUGGGAUGUCAACAAGAUUGUGGGAGGAUACGUGGUUAGGAGAGGCGCCCUUAGCUCUCCAAUAUCCAACCCUUUAUAACAUUGUGCAACGUAAGGAGGAGUACGUAGGCACAAUUUUCCAAACGAUCCCCUUGAAUAUUCAGUUCAGACGUGCGCUAAUUGGUGAGCGAUGGACAGCUUGGAUGCACUUGGUUCGGAGAUUGAUAGAUGUUCAACUCUCUGACCAACCAGAUUCGCCGCAAUGGAAACUAGCUAAAAAUGGAGUUUUUACGGUCAAAUCAUUUUAUUUGGAUUUGAUUAAUUUUGGCCCAAUCUCAAGAUCGUUGCAUAUCUGGAGGAUUAAGGUUCCCUUGUGUAUAAUUUUUUUAUGUGGUUUGUCCGCAAGCAAGUAA
rnacentral:rRNA from 1 species